CUCAGAACAUCAGUUGCUACCACCCUGUUGUGCUCUUCAACAACCAGGGAUGUGGUGACAAAACCCAAGAAGGUCUAACCAGGUCCAGCAGGAGCCUUGGCCAGUAUCUCAGGCUUGGUGUCUCCUCAUCCCCUGGAGCAAGGAGCAGGCUGCAGAGCAAGUCCCAGAGCAAGGCUCUGCCUUUCUUCCAACCACCGUGUCAAGAAAUAAAGGCUGGAUAAUGGAAACGGAGUCUUUGAACAGUGACAUUCAUCUGAAGACGCAGCAGCACAGAGAGACCACACAGCUCCUGGGGGAACAACUCAAAGUAGAAGGUGAGAGGAUGGAAGAUCUUAGCAUUUACUGGCACCUACUGUGUUUUUGGGUUUGAGGAACAUCAUUUAGAGCAACAAAGUACCUGCUGCCGGAAGGGACCCUCGCUCGGUGGAGAGAUGACGAGCGGCUCUUGCCCCUGUUUGGUUUUUAAUGAGCUGGUUCAGUCAGUUUUGAAAUGUCAGUGGGUGUCUCUGGAGACAGAGAAGUCACAGCCAAAAGAAGAAACUAAGGCUCCUGCUGUUCAGCCCCUCUGCAAGUGGCUCUGAUUAAAUAUUUCAGUUUGCUGCUCAGCAGCUCCAGGGCUGACAUUUUUGCCACCGCUGCUUUUGGUUUCCUGGUUGUUUUUCCACCAGAGACUGAGCAAAGGCACAGCCUGGCUGAGGAUU
rnacentral:lncRNA from 1 species